GAUGAACGCUGGCGGCGUGCCUAAUACAUGCAAGUCGAGCGAACAGACGAGGAGCUUGCUCCUCUGACGUUAGCGGCGGGCGGGUGAGUAACACGUGGAUAACCUACCUAUAAGACUGGGAUAACUUCGGGAAACCGGAGCUAAUACCGGAUAAUAUAUUGAACCGCAUGGUUCAAUAGUGAAAGACGGUUUUGCUGUCACUUAUAGAUGGAUCCGCGCCGCAUUAGCUAGUUGGUAAGGUAACGGCUUACCAAGGCAACGAUGCGUAGCCGACCUGAGAGGGUGAUCGGCCACACUGGAACUGAGACACGGUCCAGACUCCUACGGGAGGCAGCAGUAGGGAAUCUUCCGCAAUGGGCGAAAGCCUGACGGAGCAACGCCGCGUGAGUGAUGAAGGUCUUCGGAUCGUAAAACUCUGUUAUUAGGGAAGAACAAAUGUGUAAGUAACUAUGCACGCCUUGACGGUACCUAAUCAGAAAGCCACGGCUAACUACGUG
rnacentral:rRNA from 1 species